GAUUGGCUUUGUUGUCGGCUCCUC
rnacentral:siRNA from 1 species